CCGAGUUUACAACUCCCAAACCCCUGUGAACAUACCACUUGUUGCCUCGGCGGAUCAGCCCGCUCCCGGUAAAACGGGACGGCCCGCCAGAGGACCCCUAAACUCUGUUUCUAUACUGUAACUUCUGAGUAAAACCAUAAAUAAAUCA
rnacentral:misc_RNA from 1 species